CGAGCGGGUCAUCAUAGAAACACCGCCCGAUCCCUAGUCGGCAUAGUUUAUGGUUAAGACUACGACGGUAUCUGAUCGUCUUCGAUCCCCUAACUUUCGUUCCCUGAUUAAUGAAAACAUCCUUGGCGAAUGCUUUCGCAGUAGUUAGUCUUCAGCAAAUCCAAGAAUUUCACCUCUGACAGCUGAAUACUGACGCCCCCGACUAUCCCUAUUAAUCAUUACGGCGGUCCUAGAAACCAACAAAAUAGAACCGCACGUCCUAUUCUAUUAUUCCAUGCUAAUGUAUUCGAGCAAAGGCCUGCUUUGAACACUCUAAUUUUUUCACAGUAAAAGUCCUGGUUCCCCCCACAGCCAGUGAAGGCCAUGGGAUUCCCCAGAAGGAAAGGUCCAGCCGGACCAGUACUCGCGGUGAGGCGGACCGGCCAGCCAGACCCAAGGUUCAACUACGAGCUUUUUAACUGCAACAACUUUAAUAUACGCUAUUGGAGCUGGAAUUACCGCGGCUGCUGGCACCAGACUUGCCCUCCAAUUGUUCCUCGUUAAGGGAUUUAGAUUGUACUCAUUCCAAUUACGAGACCCGAAAGAGCCCCGUAUCAGUAUUUAUUGUCACUACCUCCCCGUGUCGGGAUUGGGUAAUUUGCGCGCCUGCUGCCUUCCUUGGAUGUGGUAGCCGUUUCUCAGGCU
rnacentral:rRNA from 1 species